rnacentral:rRNA from 1 species
CACAUGCAAGUCGAGCGGUAACAGAAAGUAGCUUGCUACUUUGCUGACGAGCGGCGGACGGGUGAGUAAUGCUUGGGAACAUGCCUUGAGGUGGGGGACAACAGUUGGAAACGACUGCUAAUACCGCAUAAUGUCUACGGACCAAAGGGGGCUUCGGCUCUCGCCUUUAGAUUGGCCCAAGUGGGAUUAGCUAGUUGGUGAGGUAAUGGCUCACCAAGGCAACGAUCCCUAGCUGGUUUGAGAGGAUGAUCAGCCACACUGGGACUGAGACACGGCCCAGACUCCUACGGGAGGCAGCAGUGGGGAAUAUUGCACAAUGGGCGCAAGCCUGAUGCAGCCAUGCCGCGUGUGUGAAGAAGGCCUUCGGGUUGUAAAGCACUUUCAGUCAGGAGGAAAGGUUAGUAGUUAAUACCUGCUAGCUGUGACGUUACUGACAGAAGAAGCACCGGCUAACUCCGUGCCAGCAGCCGCGGUAAUACGGAGGGUGCGAGCGUUAAUCGGAAUUACUGGGCGUAAAGCGUACGCAGGCGGUUUGUUAAGCGAGAUGUGAAAGCCCCGGGCUCAACCUGGGAACUGCAUUUCGAACUGGCAAACUAGAGUGUGAUAGAGGUGGUAGAAUUUCAGGUGUAGCGGUGAAAUGCGUAGAGAUCUGAAGGAAUACCGAUGGCGAAGGCAGCCACCUGGGUCAACACUGACGCUCAUGUACGAAAGCGUGGGGAGCAAACAGGAU